AUUGAACGCUGGCGGCAGGCUUAACACAUGCAAAUCGAGCGGUAGAGGGGAGCUUGCUUCCCUUGAGAGCGGCGGACGGGUGAGUAAUGCCUAGGAAUCUGCCUGGUAGUGGGGGACAACGUUCGGAAACGGACGCUAAUACCGCAUACGUCCUACGGGAGAAAGUGGGGGAUCUUCGGACCUCACGCUAUCAGAUUAGCCUAGGUCGGAUUAGGUAGUUGGUAGGGUAAAGGCCUACCAAGGCGACGAUCCGUAGCUGGUCUGAGAGGAUGGUCAGGCAGACGGGAACUGGGACACGGUCCAGACUCCUACGGGAGGCAGCAGUGGGGAAUAUUGGACAAUGGGCGCAAGCCUGAUCCAGCCAUGCCGCGUGUGUGAAGAAGGUCUUCGGAUUGUAAAGCACUUUAAGUUGGGAGGAAGUUCAGUAAGUUAAUACCUUGUUGAAUUGACGUUACCGACAGAAUAAGCACCGGCUAACUCUGUGCCAGCCGCCGCCGUAACAC
rnacentral:rRNA from 1 species